UCCUUGUCGCUGUUGUCCAGAGUUUGUGUAGAACUGACUCCGCAAAGCCUGGAAGAACUCACUUAGAUCAAAUGGAUGCAUUAUCUUUAUCCAGGCAAGACAUUCAAAGUUUCUUUUUAUUUCUGGGUCAUCAUACACAUUCCUGAUGAUGGAUGAUUCCCCAUGAUCGCCUUCUGUUUCCCAGAUGGAGAUGACCUGAAGGUCACCAUCAUUGUUGGUGAGCAAUUCAGCAAGAUCCCCUGAACCACUCAGCUCCUUUGCGAUGUCUCUCACCUCAACGAGGGCAUCAGAUGCUGAUGAGCCACCUGCAGCUGGCCCGACAGGUUUGGAGCCGGAGUCAGAGAUGAGGUUGUAGCGCAUGUUCCUCUGGCUCACAUCCUCCACUCUGGCCUUGAUCUGCUUUAUGUCAGCCACCGCCUCAUCCAGGGGAAGAACCGGCGCAAGGCAGGACGGCAGCACCGGCGCCAUGAACGAGGGGAACAACCGGUGCCACCAAGCAGACUUCUUGUCAAGGUGGAUUACAAACUCGAUGCAGUCCUCGACGUCUUAGGCAAGGUUACGCACCUGCGUUACCCAGGUCCUCACCACAUUGUUGUUCGCUUGCCCCCUCCCGACGACGUUGAGGAAGGACUGCAUCAUCUGGAACUCAUCCGUGAUGAACACCAGGUCAUGCUGCACCCUCUCCUUGAGCUGGUUCUCCUCCAAGAUCGCCGACUGCACCUUGAUCACCGUCCCCUCCACCACCGACUUGGUGAGCCCAAGCACAAUGUCCGCCAUUGUUUCCUCAGCCUCUACUCUCUGAUGUGUCUGAGUUUGUGGUGAGCUAGAAGCAAAUGAUGCCGCUAAAUUGCUAGAUCGGAAUC
rnacentral:sRNA from 1 species